rnacentral:rRNA from 1 species
AUGGCGUCCACCAACGGCUACGGCAGCGUCACCGGCGGCGGCCUCCCCACGCACACGGCCACCUCCAAGCCGCCCGUCGACGACCCGCGCCACCAGAAGCAGCGCCUGCGCCGGCGCCGCGGCUGCCUCUGCUGCGCGUGCCUGGCCGUCACCCUCGUCCUCAUCGCCGUCGUGCUCCUGAUCCUCUUCCUCACCGUGCUCCGCGUGCGGGACCCGACGACGCGGCUCGUCUCCACGCGCCUCAUCGGCGUGGCCCCGCGCCUCACCUUCCCGGCGCUCAGCAUCCAGCUCAACGUCACCCUCCUCAUCACGGUGUCCGUGCACAACCCCAACCCGGCCUCCUUCUCCUUCCCCACGGGCGGCCACACGGACCUCACCUACCGCGGCGCCCACGUCGGCGACGCCGAGAUCGACCCCGGCCGCGUCCCCAGUAAGGGGGACGCGGACGUGAAGCUGGCGCUGACGCUGCAGGCGGAGCGGUUCGCCGGGGACCUGGCGCAGCUGGUCGCGGACGUGGAGGCCGGAUCGCUGCCGCUGGAGGCCAGCACCAGGAUCCCCGGGCGGGUGGCGGUGUUCGGCGUGUUCAAGCGCCACGCCGUCGCCUACUCCGACUGCAGCUUCGUCUUCGGCGUCGCGGAGCUGGGCGUCCGCAGCCAGGAGUGUCGCGACCACACCAAGCUCUGA